GUUAAGGCUUUUAGAGGUUGUUCUUGCUGACCAAAAGCAUUCCAUGACGUUUCUCAUGUUCAAUUUCAGUCAGCAUUGCAGGUUUUCUCAAAAAACUGUUUACUGCCAUCGAGACACUUUGUGGUUAUUAAGGGAGGGAGAAAACAGAGCACAUGACAUCGCCACCCUCCUAAGAUGUCUCAUUAGAAACAAUAUUUGGAUGAAGCGGUUGUUAGAGGUCAGGCAAGAGAAGAAGGAAUAUGAAAACCCUUGUUUUGAUUUUUAAUCUAAUCAGCUGGAGUUUGUUAUUUCUCACCAGAGUAUGCAAAGCACACACCAUCAGCCCCAGAUGCAUCUGGUGUACAUUUGGCAGGUUUUGUUUUUUCAGUCCAAUGUGAGCCUUCCAGGAAGGCGAAGGCAGGGGCUGUUCUCCCGUGUCUGAUUAGGCCAUGAUUCCACCCCUGUCACACCCCUAAAGACCCUGGUUUUGGUAUUAAGACAUCCUAACAUCAGGCUCUUGUACUGAUUUACCCGCUGUUUUUCUGCGUAGGGCUGCUUGUUAGAGGGAACAAAUGUGAAGUGUCUGGGUCAUGUCCCCUUCCCCGGGAGACAGAAGCUCUUGGCUCACUGCUGUUUGGCUAAGUGCAUCAUGCCACACUCAACAUUUUCCUCAUGUCAGCUAUUUUAGAGAGAGAUGGCUUCUGUUGACCCUGAUACCAGCUUAUCAUCCGGGAGAGCCUCUCUUCAGGAAUGAAAAGAGAAUCUGUGUCAUCAUUUACCCGUGGAUAAAAGUUUUGAUCUUUUGAUCGACUCUGGCCAGGUGGCUCAUUUGGUUGAAGCAUCAUCCCAUACACCAAAAGGUUGUGGGCUUGCUCGUGUUCUCUCCCCCGCCUUCCUUCCUUUCUUUCUAGUAUCAAUAAUCACAUCCUCAGGUGAAGAAAAAUAAACAAAUAUUAAAAAUUUUUGGUUGGUGAGGAGAAACCAAACCAAUUAGCUAAACACAAGUUUUUGAAUGCCCUCAGAAUUACAACUAUAUUGUUCAUUCUGGUCCUGUCCCAUAUUUGUAUCAAAACCAUUGAUCUGUGUGCUUUAGCUCUUGGUAGAAAAACAUUUAUCUGUGAUAUAGCUAAAAAAUAUUUUUGGGUUUUUUUGGGGGUAUGGGUAUGUAGUAAAGUAUAGUGAUUUAAUGGAAAUGUAGAAAUGUUAUUGAACAUAUACGCUAAGACAGCUUUGCAUAUUUAUUCACUGUAUCUACUAUGAAAUAUAAAAAUAUGUUGGUAGUUUUUGUAUUAACAUGUAUUAUGUAUAUGAGUACAAUUCUGUAGAUCAAAAUUCUCUGUCAAAAUUAAAAAUAUCAAAAUACCA